GCCGCUCGACAUACACAACUCAAAAUGCAGAAGUCUACAAUAUCAUCCCGAAAUCCGAAACCUCACGGGAACACAAGCUAACGAGUAGUAGUACAUGGCUCUAACUCCAGAACAUCUGAAAUAAAAGUACGGAAGAAGUCUAAAUACUAGAAACAGAGUAAAGAAGGAGACUCCUUGAUCUGCGGGCACUACAGAAGUAACUCAAAAUCUCCGCAGCUCUCCUAGCCUCAAGGAUAGUGUGCCUGAGAUGAAGUACCUGAAUCUGCAUAUGAAAAACAUGCACAGUGGUGCUCAGUAAGUGCCAAGCCUAACCUCGGUUGGUAGUGACAAGGAAUGGUCCAAGCCCUACUGAGAUACAACAUAAUAAAUAACAAGAUAAAGAAACAAUAGUAUAGAUAAAAUGUACAGAGAGAAUCUAAAUAAGAUAAAUACGGAAACCGUAAUAGAAAGCAGAAAAGCAAGACAAUACUAGUAAAUACUACUCACAUCGGAACCACAACCGAGGAUCUCUUGGUAUCCCGAGGAUCUCUUGGUAUCCUCAAAUCUUACAAUUUCAUGUGCCAGGGAUCUCUUGAUAUCCCGAGGAUCUCUUAGCAUCCUCAAAUCUUACAAUUUCAUGUGCCAGGGAUCUCUUGGUAUCUUCAAAUCUUACAAUUUCAUGUCUUAGGAAUCUCUUGGUAUCCCAAGGAUCUCUUAGUAUCCUCAAAUCUUACAAUUUCAUGUGCCAGGGAUCUCUUGGUAUCCUCAAAUCNNNNNNNNNNNNNNNNNNNNNNNNNNNNNNNNNNNNNNNNNNNNNNNNNNNNNNNNNNNNNNNNNNNNNNNNNNNNNNNNNNNNNNNNNNNNNNNNNNNNNNNNNNNNNNNNNNNNNNNNNNNNNNNNNNNNNNNNNNNNGAUCUCUUAGUAUCCUCAAAUCUUACAAUUUCAUGUGCCAGGGAUCUCUUGGUAUCCCGAGGAUCUCUUGGUAUCCUCAAAUCUUACAAUUUCACGUGCCACAGAUCUCUUGAUAUCCCGCACCCUUAGUCCAGAACAUAUCAAGUGCAGGGGGGUCUCCCUGGAGGCUAACCCGUAGUCCCAAUUUAAAAACACACAAUAGCAACCCAAACAUUAGGAAAGAUACUAACUUAGGACUAGAAAUACAAAAAUACUAGCCAAACAUACUACACGGAGUACAAAUAAUACAGUUUAAGCACUUAGGCAAGUAAGUCAAUGAACAUGCUUCUCUAAAGUAGCAUAUAAUGAGCUUACAAUUUAAAAUGAACAGGUAAGUAAGAAAACUCAAUUUAAAUACUUCAAGUAAAAACGAAUUUCCAACAAUUUGCUCACGUACACGCUCAUCACCUCACGUACUAGGCAUUCAAUUACAAAACAUCAAAUCCUAAGGGGAAAGUCCCCCGCACAAGGUUAGACAAGCCACUUACCUCAAACCGGCUCCAAAUCAACUUGAAACCACACUUUUGCCACGAGUAUCCGACUCCAAAUAGCCCAAAUCUAUUCAAUCCAAUUACAUAUCAUAAAUAACACCUCAACCAACUGAUUCCACUAUUUAAUUUAAAUCUAAGAUGCAAAUUUAGGUAAACAAUCAAAUCGGCCUCAGGCCAACGUGAUCAAACCCGGGGUUUGAACCAAAAUCUGGUUACCCAUUCCCCCUGAAUCCAAAUAUAAUAUUUGUAUUGAAAUCGGAACUUAAAUUGAGGUCCAAAUCUCCAAUUUUUGAAAAAUCCUAGGUUUUACCACAAACCUCCAAUUUCACCCAUGAAAAUCAUUGAUUUUAAGUUGAAAACAUGUUAAAUGAUGUUAAAGAUUGAAAGAAAUGAGUAAAAACCAACUUACAAACGAUAUGGAAGAGGUCUUGUUCUUGAAAUAUUUCCCAAAGCAGUUGUGUUUUGAAAAUGGAGUGAAAAAUGUCCAAAAUUCGACUAAGUAUAACAAUUGCAGGUUGCAGAUGUCGCUAUUACGAUGGGAACCCCGACCCUGCUAACUUGGGAAUUGCGAGAUUUUUGUUCGUAUUUGGGAACACUGGUAAAAAAUGGGGGCUUUGCAUUUGCGACCAAAGGUGUUGCAUUUUCGAAAAGCCAAGUUCCACAUUUGUGAAUCACUUGGUUGCAUUUGUGAACUCAGCACAAUCUCCUUUUCCUCGCAUUUGCGAUGCCAGGCUCGAAUUUGCGAGCUCACAUUUGCGAGGCUUGCUUUGCAAAUGCGAAAAUUGCAGAACUGAAAUGCCAGAUUUUCUCUAAGUUCAAAAAUACACUUCGACACCUAUCCAAAAUUCACUCGAGCCCUCGGGGCUCUAAACCAAAUAUGCACACAACCUCAAAAACAUUCUACGGACUUAUCUGUGCAAUCAAAUCGCCAAAACAACAUCAUAUACAUCGAAUCAAGCUCAAAACUCAUAAUUUCUUCCAAAUUUUUAUAAAACAUCAAAUUCCCAUUUUAAGUCUGAAGCACGUCAAACGACGUCCGUUUUCAACCAAACUUUACAGAAAGUGCUUAAAUCAUAUUAAGACUUGUACUUGGCGCCGGAACCAAAAUACAGACUCGAUACCAUAGUUUGCUAAUCAAGUUUCCUUUCCAAUUUCCUUAAUUAUUUCCAGAAAAUAAGUUCAUGCAAAAAUUCAUUUCUCGGGCUUGGGACCUCGAAAUUCGAUUACGAGUAUACACCCAAGUCCCAUAUGUUCCGGCGGACCCUCCGGGACCGUCAAAUCACGGGUCCGGGUCCAUUUACCUUAAAUAUAGACCGAAGUCAAAUUGAUUCAAUUUAAUAUCAAUUAGUAUUUUCCUCACAGAAUUCAUGUUAGUUUUCUGGCUACGUGCCUGAACUGCGCACGCAAAUCGAGGCAACCCUAAAUGAGAUUUUCAAGGUCUCGGAAGUACAGAAUAGGUAAGAAAACAAGUGAUGACCCAAGGGCCAUCACAAGUUCCAGAAUAUGGAGACAAUCGAAAAUCAACACAUGGUAAAUCUGGGAAUCACAAAAUUAAAAUUAUUAAUUUAAGGAGAGUAACAUAGGUUCCCAUAAAUAAGCAAAUAAACCAAGUUAAAAUAGGAGAAUCAAAAGUCAAAAGAGAAGUUUUUAAAUCAAGCCAAGAAACAGGGAGCUCAGAGUCAAUCAAAGAGAGAGCAUGAGACAUGUUUUAGCAUAUGAAUAGAGUGAGACAUGAGUAACCAAACAUAGCAAGCAAGGAGGCAAGUCAUGACCAGUCAAGACAAACACAAGCUCAUAGAGCUAAUGUAAGUUAGGCAUAAGAAACUCGGUAGAAACACAUUUGAAGCGAGAUUGUCACAGAAACUCAAACAAGAACAAGCCAGUCACAAAAUCAAACGAAGAAACCUAGAAAAAUUAGGGCUUUCAACAUAGGCGAGUUAAAGAGAAGAUAGAAACCCAGAAUUAGAAGAAUCGUACAAAAAGGGAACAAGAGAUUUCGAAAAGAACCUCUACACUUAAACGAACGGUCUUAGACACAAAAAAAUGAGAUUUUCCACAAUAAAAGGUUUUUAAAAAGAGUAUAAAUAGACUGAUCGGACAAAAACUCAAACAAGCAAAUAUUCAUUUAAUAAAUAGUUAAAAGAAAUUAGGGAUUUUAAUAUGCAAACUCAGAGAGAAGAAUAAUACAAGUAAACACAGCAAAAUAUAUCAAAAAUCAAAGAAAGGUUUCGAAAUAACUUAACAAAACCUUAAUCAGAAGGAUGAGGAGAAGGAGUUUUGAAAGCGGAGUUUGAAAAGGAACUUCGAGAUAAACGCUUAAAAGUUCAGAGCAGACAUAGGUUUGAAACAAAUGUUGCACCCUUUUUUUUUACAAAAAUCUCACUAACCCUCUUAAAAAUAUAUAAAAAAGAUCUGUAUAGCUCAAAAUAUUUUCCAUUAGAAAGUGACAAAAGACGGUGUUCAAAUGGAUUAACUCAAAGUCGCCACCUAGUAUUACUUUUUGAUGUGCCAGGUCGCUGGAGAUGUCACACCCCCUUUUUUGACAAAAACCUCACUAACCCCCUAAAAAUAUAUAAAAGAGAUUUGUAAAUCUCAAAGGGUUUUCCAUUAGAAAGUGACAAAAGACGGUGUUUAAAUGGAUUAACUCAGAGUUGCCACCUAGAAUUAUUUUUGGUGUGCCAAGUCACCAUUUUAGAAAAUAUUUUUCUUUUCAAAACACUUUAGACUCUAAAACCAAGUCAGCACCAGAGAUUAGGGUAAGGGGGUUCAUUUGACUCGGAGAGAAGGUGUUAGGCAUUCCCCGAGUCCUGUAACUUGUACGGUUGUACACUCGAUCAAGUUGGCUUUUAAGACAUUCAAAUUUUGAGGGAAACAAUCAAAAGUGGCUCGAGGCCGUCCCUAUCUAAUAAAAGAAAAAUAGAAUACUACGACUUCUACUAUCGAUCUCCAAGUACAAAUAUUUCAGGGCAUGCCCCGGAAUAAAAUAUAUAUAAGUCCUUCGGGACAUUCUUCGGAUAAAUUUAACUAAGGGAAUGACCUCUCGCCUCAAAAAUUAACAGAUGUUCUAAGGCUUGCCUACCCAAAUGUGGUCGGCCUAAGCAUGCUCCUAGCGAUUCAAAGAUAAGAAUUAAAUUAAAUAAAAUUCAUUUAAUACUCACUUUUCUUUUAACUUCUUAUGUGGUGCAUUUGACCAAGCCCAAUUCCUAAAUAUGUAAGCAAAUUAACACUAACGGGCCAAGUCUUUUUCCAACUCCCACAUCCCAAUAGUUAUAUGAAGCCAGUAUAUCUAUGUAUAACUAAGCAUGUAUCCCAAACAAAUAGACAAUCAACCAACUGAAUCAAUCAGGUAGGCAAGUUAAUAGAAAGAUAAAAAUAAAAUGAAGAAGGUAAGAUCCAAACAUGAUAAAGCCCUUUGAGUACUCAAUAAUCUCACAACCUACUCUUUUCAAAAAUAACCUUCUCAUUGCCAGUCAGAUAAUUAGUAGGAUAAACCUCAUUAAUCUCACCAUAUUCAAAUAAGCACGUGUGUACCCACUUUAUGUUCUAGAUUAUGCAAAAAAACUCAAUUUUGGGAUUAGCGUAUACUUUUUACAGCAGCCAAAAGAAGUCACAAAAUAAGCAUCCAAUACAUGCUAACUUAAGCAGUCCAUUCCAGGAAUCUCACAUGCUUUAAAAAGGCAGUUAUUUAAAUGAUAGUUAUUUGAACCAACACAUGGACUAUGUUUUCAGUAGAGGGAUCCUCAAACUUCCAUGAAAACUAAAGGAACUAACAUAUUUGUUCACAACUAGAACUAAUCGAUGACGCGAUUGAUACUGAUGAGAUAAUUAAACGAGCUUAAGCAAAUAUCUUUGGUCAAAUAUCCACUUAACAAACAGGACAUCCAUGCAAAUUACCAAUAAAUUCAUACCCAUGCUAGCGAUCAAAAAACAGUAAACAACAUGCAGUGACAGAUUUAUCAGUAGCGCGCCAGUCCAGUUUCAGCCAUAUGAUCUACACCUUAUGUCAGUUACUUGCCCAUAAUCGCUAUAAAAUCCAAACAGAGGACACCAAACACCCUUAUAACAAGAUUGAAUUCAAUCAAAAACCAAUAGGGAACUCAAAUUCAUUCUUCACACUCAAACUGUUAAUUUCAAAAAUGAAACAACAAGGUAGGCCCACGCAUAUCAUAAGAGAAGAAUCUUAUCAUUUUUUAUCAAAACAUGAGCAGUUGGGUGCUCAACAAGACUUAGAACUUCACUUUAUCGAAGAAAUUCUACGAAUGAAACCUCCCAGCUUUUAAGCUUUAAUCAAUACUACGAAAUCUAAUCAUUUGAUCCUUCAUAUCAGAAAUAGCCAGAUUUGAGCAAAAAUAAGCCACAAAACACAUAGAAAUCUAAUUAUGACCUCGAAAAGUUCAAACGACAUGGUUCUGGAUUAAUCUUCUUUGAGUUACCUCUCCGACACUUAUUAGGCGAAUUAAACCGCAGGUCUUAUCAUAUUAAGAUUAACACCAAUAGAUAACAGUAAGAGAGAAAUAGUCGGACCUGAAAUUGAGUUUUCAAUUAACUUCGAUGUCGACAAGUUCGAACAGAGCGACAAGCGAAUGUAGAACCACGAGCUCGAACUACAAACGGCAACCAGGACUUCAAACGAGCACCACCAGAACUCAAUCACACGCAAUGCUUAAAUCAGAACUGGAAUUUUAGAGAAGAAAAUGAACUAACUUUUUUUUUUGUGUGUUCUUAUUUUUAGUUUUCUGACUUUUGCAACGAAAAAAAGAACAAGAAAGAACCAAUUUAUUUCGAAAUGAACCCAAACUCAAACAAACUUAAACUCAAAUAAUUUUUUAUAUUUUUAUUUUUCUGAAAUACCAACCCCACAUGAAAAGAAAUCUGAGAAGACAGAAAAAAUCAAGAACCUUAGUUUUUUUUCCAAUCCGAAAUUUCUCCAAAUUUUGUUUCUUCUCCAUUCUGUCCAAAAACCCAAAUAUAUAUCCCUCUCUCGAAGCUUCUCCUUCUUCAACAAGAAAUCCCCCCGAAAACCCGAUUUUUUCCUUCAAUAAAUUCCGAAAAUCCCCUCUCACAAAAACAAAAUCAGAAAAAUGGAGAGCUUGGACAAAAAUCUUCAUCCUAAGGUUCCCAUUUCUCCAAGAUUAAUUCAAGGGUUUCGGAUUUGCUUCAAAUCGAAUGAAAAAGAAAGGAAAAUGCGUGAAUCUCAUGGAUAUGAUGAGGCUUGUACAGAGUGUGUGAUAUGGAAGAAGGAGAGGAGUGGAGAGGGGGGACCAUAGGGGGACCAACGAGCGAACUCGGCCGAUUUCGACGAGUCUGGAUCGGCAGAGGCAAGAAAGUUNNNN
rnacentral:lncRNA from 1 species